rnacentral:rRNA from 1 species
UGGGGAAUAUUGCACAAUGGGGAACCCGUAGCAUGCAGCGACGCCGCGUGAAGGAUGAAGUAUUUCGGUAUGUAAACUUCUAUCAGCAGGGAAGAAAAUGACGGUACCUGACUAAGAAGCCCCGGCUAACUACGUGCCAGCAGCCGCGGUAAUACGUAGGGGCAAGCGGUUAUCCGGAUUUACUGGGUGUAAAGGGAGCGUAGACGGCAUGGCAAGUCUGAAGUGAAAGCCCGGGGCUCAACCCCGGACUGCUUUGGAAACUGUUGGGCUAGAGUGCUGGAGAGGCAAGCGGAAUUCCUAGUGUAGCGGUGAAAUGCGUAGAUAUUAGGAGGAACACCAGUGGCGAAGGCGGCUUACUGGACGGUAACUGACGUUGAGGCUCGAAAGCGUGGGGAGCAAACAGGAUUAGAUACCC